UACGUAGGGUGCAAGCGUUGUCCGGAAUUAUUGGGCGUAAAGAGCUCGUAGGCGGUUUGUCGCGUCGAAUGUGAAAACCCGGGGCUCAACCCCGGGCCUGCAUUCGAUACGGGCAGACUAGAGUUCGGUAGGGGAGUCUGGAAUUCCUGGUGUAGCGGUGAAAUGCGCAGAUAUCAGGAGGAACACCGGUGGCGAAGGCGGGACUCUGGGCCGAUACUGACGCUGAGACGCGAAAGCGUGGGAGCGAACAGG
rnacentral:rRNA from 1 species